GCCGGGUUGGUGGAAUCGGUAGACACACCUGUCGCAAGACAGGCCUCGAAAGAGAGUGGAGGUUCGAAUCCUUUGCCCGGCA
rnacentral:tRNA from 1 species